UACGUAGGGUGCAAGCGUUGUCCGGAAUUAUUGGGCGUAAAGAGCUCGUAGGCGGUUUGUCGCGUCGGCUGUGAAAACCUGGGGCUCAACCCCGGGCCUGCAGCCGAUACGGGCAAACUAGAGUGCGGUAGGGGAGACUGGAAUUCCUGGUGUAGCGGUGAAAUGCGCAGAUAUCAGGAGGAACACCGGUGGCGAAGGCGGGUCUCUGGGCAGUAACUGACGCUGAGGAGCGAAAGCGUGGGGAGCGAACAGG
rnacentral:rRNA from 1 species